GAAAAAAAACAAGAAGAUAAAUAUUAUGAAAGCAUUAAUAAAAAAAAAAAAAAAAAAAAAAAAAAAAUAAUUACGAAAGAGAUUCACGUUACCUAUACUGAACAGUCUCGAGUUCAUCAAGUGGAAGGCCGUGCAGAAUAUCAUAGCUGGUAAUCGAGUUUUAUCGAACAACAUCCAAAAUCCAACAGUUAAAUCAAAAAUGAAACCGAACCAAUGGACUAUAAAGAAAUCUGUUUCUUCGGUAGUCAAGAAAAUUCUAUAAAAACAAGAUGCCUUUUUCUGAGGGAACAUUAUAAGGGUUUAUUUAAAAGUUGGGACAUACUUGAACGGAUCGAAAACCCAGUGUCUCGAGAGAUUCAACAUGGAAUAUCCUUCGAGCCAUUCUUUACCGGAUUUCUUUAAACCGGCCAAAAAGUAUAGAACGAAAAAUUGAAAUCUUAAAAUAAAAUAAUUCCACAGUGGCACGGUUUCCUUUAUUUUUUUAGCAUCGCUGGCAUCGAACGCACUAUGUGACAAUGAAGAAAGACUCCUUUAAUAACAGAAGUAUUAUUUAAUCAUAAAAUGAGAUAAAUCGUAUCAAGUACUCACAAGUACUUGUUUGCUUCGGUACACCAAAAAAGAGUCGCUACGAUACCAUAAAGAUAAGUAUGAUUGUUCCAAUAACUUUUAUCCAAUAGAAAUAUAUACCAGUAAGGAACGACGAAGCAAGCGCAAGCAAAUUUAAAUCUGACACCAAGCAUGAUACCAAAAGCACCUAACCACAUUGCACCGUAAAGUACUAUCAUCCAAGGUAAUGAAAGUGGUUUCAUUCCGUGAAUCAGUGGGAAAUGACAAUCCCAUGAAUCUCCCCAUUUUAUAUCGAUAUCCGCCAAUCCUCUUUCUUCGACAACGUCCACUAUCAUACACAAACCUAUUGGAUAUGAUGUGAUUUUGUGAAAAAAUAUGUUCACUGGUUUUCUUUUUUUUCCAGGUACAUACAUAAGUAUAUCUCACUCACCAAAAAGUGCUCUCGUUAUACCCAAAUUUGCUGGAUCCGUCGGUCGAUAGAGUAGUCGCACAAAAUUUUCGAAACUCGAUAAUUCGACGAAUUUAAAGCCGCAAGCGUCUUCGAAUUUUUCGUAUGAUGAACGUUUCGAUUUUAUUUCAAAUUUUUUCGUUUUCAACGUUUUCACAUUUUCCUCGUCGAUCGUUCGAUCGGAAAUUACAGAUUCUGAAUUAAUCGGUUCCAUACCGAUGUUUUUGGAAACUCUAAGAUAAUGGAAAAUUUUUGCUAUAUAUAUAUAUAUAUAAAAAAAAGAAAAAAGUUAUCUAGAUAAUAAAAAAAUGAAAUGUAAAUUAAAAAAAUCUCACGAAUACAAAAUGAUCACCUUUGGCUUUCAUGUCAAGUUCAAAAAACAUCAGUAGAAUUUAGUGAUUCUCGAUGGAACGUAUCGCACCGUGAGUCGAAGAGGAAUUAAUAGCAACGCGAUUAGAUACAUGUAAAUUAUUGGAACGCGACGGAGUAAACAAGAAUACGUGUUCGAGAUUAAAAUCGAAUCCUCUCUUUGAAAAGUAAAGUAAACUUAUAGGGAAAGGAGUUUAGUAGGUACUUACAUAUUCAAUACUCAGGUAGAAUGUCCAUUAACACGUACUCGAGAUCUUCUCAAAGAGAAGCCAGUGUGAAGAGGCUGAUCUUUAUCGUGAUCACUCAGGUGAGAUGAAAGUUGAUCGAUCUCGAAAUCCACACUUCGAGAGAUGUUUUACGAAAAGGAAAGACUUUGCUGGGAUUUGUUGGGAAAGGCCGGUGUAGACUUUGCUUCUUCUUCUUCGCUUUUUCUUUUCGCGUGCGUACCGAGCGCGAGUACGGUCAAAGGAGGAAGACAAGUUGAUGUGCCGAUCGUGUUCCAGAGUUCGAGAGAAUACGAAGUGAGAGCGUCGCCAGGCAACGUGGCCGACUAUUGACCCGCGCCCGCGCAAUAAUUAUAUAUUAUCGGCUGUCCUUCUUCAACGUGUGUGUAUAUAUGAUUUGCGCACCGCUAUACACCUCUUUCACUCGACUUUCUCCACGUGCUUAUAUUUUUCCCGACAUUUUCACAGAUACGAAGCAAUAUCGAUCCUAGCGAAAAGAUCAUUUCUAUUUUUAUUUGAUAUUAAAGUAAUUAUUAUUUGACUGAUUUCAGAUUCUAUCAAUUUGAUAAGAAAUAAGAUUGUAGAAGAUGAAAAAAGAACACAACCCGCAAAUAGAAUGGAACAUAUUUUAUAAGGGAUCUAUUUGAAAUAAUAUUAUUGUUAGAUGAUUAGUUAUCGAUCUGACAUCUUAUAUAAUAUGAGCUGUUUUUCUUCAAUAUGUUUGUGUACUAUUGGCGCAUCGUCAAGCAUCAUUUCAUUCGACUUUUUCCACGUGCUUUUAUUUUUCCCGACAUUUUCAUAAAUACAAAGAAAUAUUGAUCCUAGCGAAAAGAUUAUUUCUAUUUUUAUUCGAUAUUGAAGUUGUUAUUAUUUGACUAAUUUAAGGUUUUGUCGAUUUGAUAAGAAAUAAGAUUGAAGAGGAUAAAAGAGGAUUACUAUACCCCAAAUAACGAGGAAAAUAUUUUAUAAGGGAUCUAUUCGAAAUAAAGUCAUUUGUUAGAUUAGUCAUCGUAUCCUAACGGAAGUCUCAGUUUCUCUAAGAAAAAGGGAGAGGAUGAUCGUCAAAUCCUGAAGGACAUUCUGUGAUGCGCUAAAUUCUUCCCUUUCAUCGAACAACUCCUUAGGGAUCGAGAUCGAAGCCCAUGAUUUCGUGGACAUUAAUUCGAAUCACUUCCAGUAGGACGCAUAACGCUUAACCCCUUUACUUCAUCAACGAACCGUCAACGUGAUUGAGCAUCUAGAGAAGGAUUUCGAGGAUGCCAGAUUGUUGUUCACGAUGAAAUUUAGUCGACUGGGGUGUUCUUAUGAAUGGACGUCACUUCGCGCUCCAAAUCUCCAACGGCCGUUUUAGGGCUGUAAAACAAAAGGCUGAUUUAUUUCAGCACGCCCCUCAAUCUGUCUCCGCGGACCACAUUCUGAUCAGGGUUGGCUCUUCAAAAUCAACUUUCUCGAUAUAUAUGACGCUAUAUAUGUGUAUAGAGUGGACCGCCGAUCGAUGCAGUUGAUCGAAUUUCCCCUUUGAAGUUGGACGGGUCAAUCGAAUUGUCUUGUUCUCGAUCAAAAACUCGUCUCGAAAGAUGAAUACGUAUACUAGCUCGUUGUACGCGGUACGUUGCAAGAGGAGAUUCGUUAUCUGGAUCAGAUUUAAGUGCGGAGAUAGACGUGUUUUAAUUGAAAGCUAGUGCAAAUCGCUACAGGCAAUUCACGUGAUGCAAACAUUUACCGACAAGCAGUACCUGAAUCAAUAUCCUCUGGCUGUACUUAACGUUUCGUUUAGAUGGAACCCUCUCAGUACACACACGCAAUACUUCAAUGUACAGUUGCCAUUUUUUUUUUCUUUUUUUUUUAAAGAAUGCUUUUCAUUUUUAUUCAUAUUCUAUAAUGAUGACAUAUGAGUCGAGAUAAUUGUUUGUCUCAUUCAGAAGAAAAUAUUUGACCGUUUAUAACGCCAUGUAACUUUGAAGUUACAUACUUUUACAUAUAUUCAUACUUUUUAAGUUUUAUUUCAUUUUAUCGCCAUAAGCUGGAUUUGUUACUUUAUAUUCGAAGUUUUUAUUGAUUUGAUAUAAUUUAAUAUAUAAAUACAAGUAUAACUA